rnacentral:rRNA from 1 species
UACGUAGGGUGCGAGCGUUAAUCGGAAUUACUGGGCGUAAAGCGUGCGCAGGCGGUGAUGUAAGACCGAUGUGAAAUCCCCGGGCUUAACCUGGGAACUGCAUUGGUGACUGCAUUGCUGGAGUAUGGCAGAGGGGGGUGGAAUUCCACGUGUAGCAGUGAAAUGCGUAGAGAUGUGGAGGAACACCGAUGGCGAAGGCAGAUCUCUGGGACGGUACUGACGCUGAGACGCGAAAGCGUGGGGAGCGAACAGG